AUGGCCCCGCAAAAACACGCGGACGCAAGCACAUUGAACGACUACCAGCCAAUAAGCCUUAUCCACCUGGUGGCGAAGAUCUUCGCCAAAGUACUCUCCCUUCGACUUGCCCCCAAGCUGGAUGGCCUUGUCAGCCGGAGCCAAAAUGUGUUCAUCGCCGGUCGAAGCCUACAUGACAACCUCAUUCUAGUCAAGCAAUCGGCCCGGCUUCUCCACCAGUUGGGUGCCCCGCGAAUCUUGCUCAAAUUGGACCUCGUGUGUGCCUUCGACUCCCUGGCUUGGCCCUUCCUCUUGGAGGUCCUGCGCCAAUAUGGCUUUGGGAACAGGUUUCUGGAGUGGAUCACUAUCGUCCUCUCAUCAACAAGCACACGAGUACUUACGAACGGCGAGCCGGGCCCACCUAUUUGGCACCGCCAGGGUGACCCCUGUCACCGCAGCUGUUUGUGCUCGUUGUCUACAUCUUAG
rnacentral:rRNA from 1 species